CAGCAGCCGCGGGAAUACGAAGGGGGCUAGCGUUGCUCGGAAUUACUGGGCGUAAAGGGCGCGUAGGCGGACAGUUCAGUCGGGGGUGAAAGCCCGGGGCUCAACCUCGGAAUUGCCUUCGAUACUGGCUGUCUUGAGUAUGAGAGAGGUGUGUGGAACUCCGAGUGUAGAGGUGAAAUUCGUAGAUAUUCGGAAGAACACCAGUGGCGAAGGCGACACACUGGCUCAUUACUGACGCUGAGGCGCGAAAGCGUGGGGAGCAAACAGGAUUAGAUACACCUGUAGUCCCUGUCUCUUAUAC
rnacentral:rRNA from 1 species